rnacentral:rRNA from 1 species
GACGAACGCUGGCGGCGUGCUUAACACAUGCAAGUCGAACGAUGAAGCCCAGCUUGCUGGGUGGAUUAGUGGCGAACGGGUGAGUAACACGUGAGUAACCUGCCCUUGACUCUGGGAUAAGCGCUGGAAACGGCGUCUAAUACCGGAUACGACCUGCCCCGGCAUCGGGUGCGGGUGGAAAGUUUUUCGGUCAAGGAUGGACUCGCGGCCUAUCAGGUGGUUGGUGAGGUAAUGGCUCACCAAGCCGACGACGGGUAGCCGGCCUGAGAGGGUGACCGGCCACACUGGGACUGAGACACGGCCCAGACUCCUACGGGAGGCAGCAGUGGGGAAUAUUGCACAAUGGGCGAAAGCCUGAUGCAGCAACGCCGCGUGGGGGAUGACGGCCUUCGGGUUGUAAACCUCUUUUAGUAGGGAAGAAGGGCUUCGGCUUGACGGUA